ACAGGAAGAUGAAAACUAUUAAAUGCAGGAAAACCCAUCUGAGCGAGUGAGCUCCGUCUCUGUGCCCGUGUCCAGAGAGGCCAACCUGCGCCACCGACAUGGGCCCAGGCAGAGCCUUUUGCUCUGCUCUGUGCAGAAUGGAAGGCAGAGACCGGAUUCAUUCCUGCACCGGCCUGAGCCCAAUUUAGCUUUAAGGGCCGCUGUCCUGCUUCAUAGUUUACGGUCCCUUUUUAAUCAGACAGAUGAUGGGCGGCGGCGCUGGGUAUUUGCAGCAAGUGAGACGCAGUUAGAAACCCUGCGCUAUUCCUGGCUGCCACUUGUCUUGCUGAGUGAGGUCGGCUGGUUGCCUGACCUCACAUGCCUGCGUUUCCUGAUCGACAAGCCAGGACACGCACACCUCGCUCAACCUCCCAUCCAGCAAUGCGAGGCAGCUGCGAACCCUGCCCGCAGGGCUGCCCGAGGGCGACCGUACUGGAUCAGGGCUUUGGCGAGAGAUCGGAGACACCCCUCCUUCCAUACAGUGACCAGACGACUGGCCUGAUUAUCAGGACCAUUAGACCCUCACUGAAUGCAUACUGGUGCCGGCCAGCCGGCCAAACAAGAGGAUUUCCAUGCAGUUUCCACGGCUGUAUCGAGCCAGCGCUCGCACACUGAGCAGCUCACCCAUUUAAAAUGCACUGUCUGUUGGGGUGUAGCAUAUACACAGUUGCAUGGCCAGUACCCCAGUCAAUUCUGGAAUGUUUGCAUCACCUCAAAGGGGAACCCUGCACCCACCAGGUAUCAUCAUCCCCAAAGCCCCAGCCCUAAGCCACUGUCAAUCUCCUUCCUGUCUCCAUCCAUGGCCCUACCCGGGACAGUUUGUGGGAAUGGAGUCUGAGCCUGGUGCCUGUCCUUCAGCUCAGUGUUUUCAGGGCUUCCCCUCUGCCGUGGCACCUCAUCUUUGACAUGUGUAUGUACUUCCGACCAUCUCCUCUACGGGGCCCUUUGACCGGCGCAGGAGAAGCCGCGGCUCGGAGCUUACCGCCCCCGGCAGGAAGUGGUCUGUGACCAUGAGUCUGCGGGGGACUGACUGGUCUGGAGGGUCGGAAGUGGGUCCCGGAGGAUGGCUGGCUUCUGGGGACACAACGCAGGCUCUCCUCAGAUGUGCUCACUGAUCGCUACUUGGCCAGUGCGCGAGACCUCUCUGCAGAGCCAGAGGCCGGAGUCCGUGCCCGGCGGGCCUCUCCUCCCCCUCUGAUCCCUCGCCUUGUGAACUCAGGGAGACCGCUGGGCUCCAGCUGGACUCUCCUUCCCUGUGCUGGUCUGGAAAUGUUCUCUAGGCAGGAAACGGGAGCAACUACAGGGCUUAUCCCAUUUGUUUCUAGAAUCUCAGGGGUCACUCUCCUUUGCUGCCUGAUGUCAACCGUCUUGAGAACUUGUGUGACUGAAUUUUUACUUGUUUCAGAAAAGAGGGCAAACCCAGUAUCUAUGAAUUCAUCUUGCUGGAAACAGAAAAGCUCAUCUUCGUGUACUUGGGAACGAAACAAUCUGUGGGCCAGUGCUACCUAUUUCUGCAUUUUCUAGAGGAAGAGAACUCAGAAAUAACCAAGUUAGAGGAAUCAACUGAUUUAAAAAAAAAAAAACAAAAAACGGUAUGACUGCAGCAAUUUCACAGGAACAUAACGAUGACUAAAGAGAAAAGCAACAGCCAUUCUCCGAUUCAUUAAUUCAUCCAGGGGCGGCAACUGGAAACCAUGACCCACUCAAGGCAACAGAGAUGCCUGCAGAAAAACCAAACGCGGCCCUCCCUCCCACGGCAGGGGCCCCAAGCUCUCCUGACAGGCGCUCCCCCAGAAGCACCCCAGGUUGCCAAAAAUUGCACAGUGGCCAAGCAUCUCAACGGGGCCUUAGAAUUCCCCACAGACUUCCCCCACGCUUUCAACCGGGGGAGAGCCACACUGGGUAGCCCUUUCUAACUCAGCAGGUCACUUUCCUUACAUGUGAAAGAAUCUGUGUUGAAGGAGAGACUUUCGUGUUUGGAUCCACAGACGCUUAGAGAGAAUGCUGCGCAUUGGCUUGGGCUCUUGGUCCCUAAGAAGCAGCCCUGACGCCAGUAGCUGAGGUUCAGACUGAGGGUUCGGCUUUAAGGUCUCUGUCUUCUUCUCUAGCCCUUUGCCCUCUCGUAUCUCUCAAAGCUUAUGUUAACACGGGGGACAAACAACGAUGACGACAGACAGAAACCCCACAAUCGGAGUCAUUAUUCGACAGUGUGAGUAAACCUGCAGAAGGUAAUGGAUCGCCUUAUCACAGGUCCCCAAGGUCCUGUUUCCUGUUACGAGGCAGCUAAGCCAAGUGUAUCUCGAAUAUUCUAGUCGAUCUUGACAGAAGCUCAGCUGUAAGACAAAAUGAACAUCUUUGAUUAAGAAUCUAAUUGGAAAUUAAAUUGGCUUUUAGAUUAGGACAGCUUGUCUACUCGGGGACGCUACUCUCACGGCCUGGCCAAGAUUACAUGGCCAAUGAACAGAGCCAAGCCCUCUCUCACUCCCGACCACCCCAUCUCCUCAAUUUGGUAUAAAAUACUCUUUAUAAGCAAGAUAAGUCACUGGAAAGAAAAAUGAGUUGCAGAGAAGCCCAAGGUGCAUUCUGAUUUUAUGCCUAAGGGGCAAGCGGAUGGACGCCGUGAUGAAAAGGCUCAACUCUACAAUAAAAAUCCGACUAGAAGCUUCCUCAGAGGCAGGGUUUGAAUUUCUGUGUACCAUCGGCAGGUUCCCAUUUCAGGCCCAGUGCAUUUUGAGACCUUGCUUUAACAUGGAUUGCUGAAAAGUGAAAUCUCACCUCCCCACAGGCGCCAUUCUAUCAGGAAAAUGGCACAGGGAGGACAUUAUGGACAGCCAAAGACAAUUAGCGACGGAUCUUGGUAAACAGUUGGAGGCGGGAGGAGACAGGCCCUGCCUGGUUUGCCCCUUAGAGCCACAGGCCCCAUUUUCUGAGGCCAAGCAAAAGCCUCCAACAGCGCAUGCAUUCCUGCUACUCCCAGGCCUUUGGAGACCACAGGGACGCACGUCUGCCGGAUCCCCGUCAUGUGACUUCCAAUCAUUGAUUUCUAUGGCUGAGUAUAUGAAGAUAAAACUAUUUACCGCCAUGAGUCUGGGUGUUUUUCUUAUCUAGAGAACAUACACAAGCUGACCCAUCAGGCAUAUCUUUUCUAAGUUGUAACGUUCUGAGAACGAUUAUACCUCCGGCCAGCCCUUUCAUUCGUUUGGGAGCAUGACGAGCUCACAGAGCAAGUGACUCGCAUCUUGCAACAGACGCCAUUUCAGCUCCUCGACUGUCGCCACACACUGACGAGUGUUAAGAAUCCGUGUGUGCAGUAAAAGAGAAACAGGUCAAGGAUGGGGAACUUCACACUCUGCUGUCACUCCCAUAAAUGAGGAUGAUGAAAGCACUACCAGCUUUAUACACAAUGUCUCAUUUAACUCUCAGCAAAUCUGGAUGAAUUAUCACUCACCCUCUGUACGGAGGACGGAACUCUGAGCAACAACAGCUCAGAGAGGUGAAGCGACUUGUCUGAAGUCACACAGCUGGGGUGGGAUUCCAGUGCACACAGUAGCCAUGAUCUUAACCAAUAAACCCUACUUGCUGGAAUGACUCACUUCUGUCUCGACUCCCUUCUGUGUUCAAGGAAUGGAAUUCAAACGGGAUAAUCUCCAGCUAGGCUAGAAAUGCUAGGCUCCUAUGGUCCCCUCGUGGGCCAGCUUUGCUGCGUAAUAGGGCCACAGAAGGAGCCGCCUCCUCCUGGAACACACAUCUGACAGCCAGCCAUACCCUUGGUGAGAGACGGGCCUGCACGGCAAGUACAUGGCUGGGACAGCCAGAACCAGCGCGCAAAAGGAGAAAGCAUGACGUGUCUGCUAUGGCGACGGUGUCCCGGCAGGGGACAGGCACGCAGGCGGUAGGAGACGUCAGUAUAGGUUUCUGGAUGGUGACCACUGGUCCCACCAUCUGUGGUGCUGACAACUGCGUGGUAGUCCGAGCACCACUCGGCUUGGAAGGCUCUGAGAUGACGUUUAUUCCUGUUUCCAGAAUGGCUCCAAAUGAGAAAAGACGACCCCACAGACCAGAGUCAGGGGUCAGCCAGGCCAGAUGCCUGAGGCCCUCAUGUGGGGAGAAGGCUCCAGAGCCUAAUUUAGCUCCGAACGAUUGUUGCUACUUGAUAAACAGCCUGGGCUCCCUUAGGCCUUGGGCAAGAGGGGUUCAGGCCGCGCUGUCCCAUCGCCCGUAUGUAGAACCUUGAAAAUCAUUAUAGCAGUUUCAUUUCCCUACUGGGGUACAUCUUGUUCCCUAAAACAGAAAACGAAAGUGAUUUAAAAGCAAACAUCUCAAGACUUGCGAAUUCGAAAUGCUUCUGAAAAUUCUGGCUGGUGACAAGCCGUUCCAUCAGCUCAUGCAGCCCCUCUGUCAGCGCAGCCGGGGACUCCAGAUCGGCCCGCCAGCCCCCUCUGCUCCUCCCGCACCCCCAGGGCUGGCCGGGAAGCUCUGGGUUGCUGGUGAUCUAGGGUCGAAAACAAUGUGGAGAAUCUCCGGCCACGGCUGUGGAAUGGACAGGAUUCUAUUUAUAAGCAGAGAGGGGCUGAACAAUGGAGCAACUGCCGCCUCGGUGGGUCUGUAGCCUGACCUCCUGUGAGACUCUGGAAAGCCUCAAAGCCAGACCCCGGAAGAGAUGGCACAGGAAGGAGGCGAUUAGACCGCUCAAGGUCAUGAAGCCAGCUGCUUCCUCCACGGUCCGACCACCUUCAUCAGAGAACAGCUAGUAAGCCCCCAUCUGCCGCUGGUGCACACCAACAUGAGCUGAACAGAUCCAGCCUCUGCCCCGCCUCCCUCCCGGGGGUGCCGUUUAGGUGGUGAUCACGUACCAGGCUGGAGGCAGCAGAAUGGGGGCAGGGAACCACACGAUGGGCAGAACGUCUGUCAUGGUUCACGUCCAAGGCCGGCUCACGUGCACGGGGCAGGCUGGACAGGUGCAGGCCAGUGUCCCUGGCACAAGCAGGCCGGUAUUUCUUCUGAAAUGAUGACUCUGUUGGGGGAGAAAAGUUGUGAGAGACAACGGUGGAUGGCCCAGGGCUAGCAGAGGGCGGGGGCCUGUGCUGCCAGGCUGGGCAGGGGGCCCUGCCCGGGUUCCCUCUGACAAUCAACACCUGGUUUAAGACUCAGCAAAUGGCUUACUCGCUGGGCUUCAUGCUGUCCUCUAGAAGACGUGGGUCACAGUAGCUAGCUUGUAGAUUAAACGUGAAACUGUCCGUGAAGUGCUUAGGACAGAUAGUACCUGGCACACUGUAAUUCUCCAGGGAAUUAUCGCUACUAUUAUAACUGCAUAGGAGAGAGGAAUGUGUGUUAGAAACACAAGCCACAGGAAGUAAGUUACGCUCCUGUCCAGUGACACCAGCAGUGAAGCAGCUGCCAGCACGAGCCCUGGGGAAUCCGGGUGCAGCAGAGAAGUUCCAUGGUCAGAAAGACUGGGCAAUGGCCAACUACUUCAUCUUCCUGGUUUACAAAGCAGAUUUGCAUAUUAAAGGCUCAAAAGAGGCCUUCAAUAUGAAAAUGUUACAUUUUGCUCUGUUCAUUCUUCUCUGCAACUUAGCGGACCACAGAGCCCUUUGUUUUGGCUGAACACGAACCUCUCCCAGGAAUCAUUUCAAACACAGAGAUUUGGGGUCCAAAACAGUCCCCGUUGUAACGGCUUGUUUCCACACACGAGCGAGGCAAGAGGAGACCAGCCAGGGAGAACGAGGGGAGAUGGGAGAGAGGGAGUCCCCUGCCCCUGCUUUCCACGCGGUGGGCAGCACGGAAAAGGAACAGGAGCGUAGGAAUCCGCAGGCGCUCAGAGGUGUUCUGGGAGACGGUGAGUGGGGCCCUUGGGAUGACAAGGCCGGAGGGAAGGCAGAGACUGAGACCCAAGCUCGGGAGGGUGUGGGGGCACGGGUCCUCCUCCCCUACCACCCUGUCACAGCCGGCUCCGCGGAGGCAUCGGGGAGGACCCGCGCCAGGAGGCAGGGUGAGGGCAAGGCAGGUACUCCCACCCUCCCUGCCGGACAGAGGCGGUGUUCGGGAGCUGACAGCCCACCUGCGCUGCAAUAUAGAUCUGUAUCUAUGGAUACAUACACACAGAGUAGAUGGCCCGACGAGCAGCCGAAAUGGAAAAUGCGUGUCCCUCGUUGACAAUUCGGAGACCCCUUACCUUGGAUUAAUGGAAAAAAAAAACAAAAACAAAACAAAACACGUCCUUGGGAGUGAGAUUCUCUUUCAGAUGCUCCCCUGGAGGGGAAAAUAUUUCUGGUUAUUGCACUUAAAAGGUUUCUCAAAAUGUGGCCCACAGACCCCCUGUGAAGGGCCCAAGUCCGCUCUCUGAUCAGAACCCCAAAUGAAAGUCAAGCACAGCUGUGUUAGCUUCGUGAGGUGGGAGGCGAGCCGUCACCCCGUGGGGCCCUGUGUUGGGAUGACAAGGGGCUCGACUGCCAUGUGGAAGGUACGCCCCCACUCCAAACCCGGAGAGCUGAAUUGGGAAUCCGAACUCUACCCUGGAGGUGGGGCAGGGUCCUGCGGCCUUCCCAUCUCCAUUGCCACCAAGAGAAAGGCCCUCAAGGACUCCAGGAGGCGAUGGACCUUGCCUACUUCUGGUGACAGAGCCCAUGAGGGUUAGGAUCAGGUCAGCCUAGAGGUCCAUACUCUUCCUGCAGCGCUGAAGACCUGAUCUAGAAACUUCUCUGGAGGUUGCCAGAGUGGAGAGCAAAGCUGAGGGCAAGCACCAGGUGCUCAUGCUAACAGGCAGGAGGACACCGAGGGGACCUCCGCCUCAGGUUUCGGGGGCUUCCCAGCCACAUCAACAUGCAAGGGACUUGCACGCACACCUAUUUUGUCAUCCGGGUUCUUCUGUCCCUGAGAAACCCGUUUUCUGGCCUCUUAUCGUGUUGCCAUCUGAAGCACCAAUUACGAACACAGGACAUCUGUGUGUGGAAAAGCCAAACAAAACACAACCUCACUCAUUAAACUGUCUUCCCCUUUUCCUUCCUGCCUCUCCCGCGCCACACCAGCAGAAAGAGAAACCAGGCCAGUGAGCUGCCUACCUACUGGCGCAGCUGAGCGCGCGGGCCUCCUCCCGGGCCCCUCGUGGGGACCCGGGCCCACGCGCCAGCCCCGCUUCAGGAAGGGCUCAUGCCUGGGAGCUCGGCUUUCAGGGGAUGCUCGGAGACGACCCCGGCCAUCUACCAGUGUAACGGAGCCCUGGAAAGGGAGGCAGAGGGGCUGGGGCACUGGCAAUGCAUUUCCGGGGGCUGCUGCCUGCCAGCGAGCAGCAGGGGCGUGGUCAGGUCCGGCACAGCUGACAACGGAGAUGUCACAUGCCACCUCUACACUGGCUUAACGCAGAGAAUUCGGGGUCAAGGGUUUAGGCCGAACCAGCUUCUAUUUAUAAUAAAGAGCAUCGAGGAGGGGGCAAACGGGACGGCAGGGGACUGGCUCGGUCUGGGUGCCCGCCGGCACGACGCUACGCUGAGGCAGAAGUCUGUGCUCAGCGCCUCGCCCCCGUGAGCGCGGGGCCUCCAUUGGGAGCUCUUCCCAGGCAGCUGAGUGCUGCUGGCUCUAGAUGGCCCCUGUGUGGGAGCUAAAGAGAGCGCAGGAGGGGGGAACAAGCCCCAUGUCUGGCUGGGUGGGUGUCGUGGGGACUGUCCCCUGCCCCACAGCUGAGGAAGCCUCAUGAGAGAGCAGGGGGAGACAGGCUCAUUCCACAAGGACCCACAUGGGUACGUGUUAAGCAGCUCAAGUCGAAGCUCUCCGAGAGGCAGAUGCCCUGACAGAAGGCACAGACGGACCCCACUCCUUUCUCCUGCUGCACCAGGGACCUAAAUCUGGUUUGGGGCCCAACAGUGACGCCGGCUGGCAAUCCUCUUCUGAGGGGCCAGAAGAACCAGGAAGCUCAUCGCCCUGGGAUGUCCAGGCCCCAUUUCAGGACCAAGUCCCGGUCUGCAGGACAGGGGUGUGGGGACCUGCACGUCACACCGAGGGUCCAGGCCAGUCUCGCAGAGGGGGACCAGCAGAGUGGGCUGUGGCGCUCUGGAAGCCAACGGAAGCAGUGAGACCACACUGGCUAUCACGGGACAGAUUCAAUCACAUGGAAAACUUUUAUUAAAGCAUUUUAAAAUAGAACUUUCCAAUAUGUAAAACUCUGAACAGCCCUUCCUGACCCUCCCCUGCCAUGACCUGAGCCAAAUGCACCGUCGCAUCCUGGCCCGACUGCGCCGAGAGGCCGUUCUUGCUUGUUGGCAACUGCUUAGGGCACCGCAGCCCUAAGCAGUGAAAUCGCCCAGACCUGAAGGGUCCCGCGCUCCCCACUCCCCGCUGCGGACUGGACUGAAGCUGGGCUCCGCCCGCCACGCUGGCAAGCACGGGCUGAGGCGUCUGUGGCGUCUGUGGCGUCGGCCGCAGAGAUGUUGCCUCGGCUCCCGGCCGCCCCGGGGUUAUCUGCCCUGUGGUUAACAGACAGCGGACCAGGCCUGGUGACCAGUCGCUGUCACUGGAGAUAAAGGCGCGCUUCUGCACCACGCCUCUCCAGAGUCGGAGAAAUCAGCGGCGGGACAUGCGGCCCCCAGAGCUAGACCAAGAAGACGAGCUGAUGGGGCUCAUCCAGGGGGCGGCAGCCCCAUCAUCGGGGCCCACGGGGCUCUUUUCCAGGCUUGGCUCACGGCUCCCUGUAUCUUCCCUUUAGGUGCCAUGAGCUCUUCUGAGACAGCUGAUGCCCACAUGCGGGGCUUCCCGGCCCUCUACUCAGUCGCCCAGGCUGGGGCCUGGAGGGUCCGGAGAGCCAAGAGCAGCAAGGACACGGAAAGGAGAUUCCAAGUUACAGCCUCAAAAGUCUUGGGAGAAGCUCCUGCACGCCCUCUCCUUGCAUCCGUCUCCGAUGCUGCGGACACCUGGUGCCACCCUUGAAGACAAACACUGCCGGCGGGCGGAAGGCCAGGAAGGUUUCUCAGAGCCCCAGGCACGAGGAAACCUCUCUCCUAGGCGGUGACCUGACAUAAGCCCCAUGCGUUCAGCACGGGAACAGACCAGAGUUUAAUAGUGGGGGACGGCGCGGGGUGGGGGGGGGCACGACAACCAACACGAAAUAGGAAAGAAAACAAACAAGCGAUCAGGCGUCACUAGAGUUUUGGUUUUUGCUGUUUCUUUCUGGGUAUGUUUCAGGGCGAAUGUUCACGGGCAAGGGCUGCUCCGGUGCAGCUCAGCGAGAGCAGCUGAGAAUGCAGCUGGUCACAGGGACGGAAAGGAAACACCGACACCCACUCAG